rnacentral:rRNA from 1 species
ACGCUCAAAUUUGAAAUCUGGCCUCGGCCCGAGUUGUAAUUUGCAGAGGAUGCUUUUGGUGCGGUGCCUUCCGAGUUCCCUGGAACGGGACGCCACAGAGGGUGAGAGCCCCGUAUGGUCGGACACCAAUCCUGUGUAAAGCUCCUUCGACGAGUCGAGUAGUUUGGGAAUGCUGCUCUAAAUGGGAGGUAAAUCUCUUCUAAAGCUAAAUACUGGCCAGAGACCGAUAGCGCACAAGUAGAGUGAUCGAAAGAUGAAAAGCACCUUGAAAAGGGGGUUAAACAGUACGUGAAAUUGUUGAAAGGGAAGCACUUGUGACCAGACUUGGGCCGGGCGGCUCAUCAGGGGUUCUCCCCUGUGCAUUCCGCCCGGUACAGGCCAGCAUCGGUUCUUACCGGGGGAUAAGAACGGCAGGAACGUGGCUCCCUCUCGGGGGAGUGUUAUAGCCUGCCGUACGAUACCCUGGCGGGGACCGAGGUUCGCGCUUCCGCAAGGAUGCUGGCGUAAUGGUUACUAGUGACCCGUCUUGAAACACGGACCAAGGAGUCGUCCAUUAGAGCGAGCGUUUGGGUGUAAAACCCGCACGCGUAAUGAAAGUGAAAUUAGGUGAGAGCUUCGGCGCAUCAUCGACCGAUCCUGAUGUUCUCGGAUGGAUUUGAGUAAGAGUUUUAACGGACGGACCCGAAAGACAGUGAACUAUGCUUGUAUAGGGUGAAGCCAGAGGAAACUCUGGUGGAGGCUCGCAGCGGUUCUGACGUGCAAAUCGAUCGUCAAAUAUGAGCAUG